UGCAAGUCGAACGGCAGCGCGGGGCAACCUGGCGGCGAGUGGCGAACGGGUGAGUAAUAUAUCGGAACGUACCCAAGAGUGGGGGAUAACGUAGCGAAAGUUACGCUAAUACCGCAUACGAUCUAAGGAUGAAAGCAGGGGAUCUUCGGACCUUGUGCUCCUGGAGCGGCCGAUAUCUGAUUAGCUAGUUGGUGAGGUAAAGGCUCACCAAGGCCACGAUCAGUAGCUGGUCUGAGAGGACGACCAGCCACACUGGAACUGAGACACGGUCCAGACUCCUACGGGAGGCAGCAGUGGGGAAUUUUGGACAAUGGGCGAAAGCCUGAUCCAGCAAUGCCGCGUGAGUGAAGAAGGCCUUCGGGUUGUAAAGCUCUUUUGUCAGGGAAGAAACGGUGAAGGCUAAUAUCCUUCGCUAAUGACGGUACCUGAAGAAUAAGCACCGGCUAACUACGUGCCAGCAGCCGCGGUAAUACGUAGGGUGCAAGCGUUAAUCGGAAUUACUGGGCGUAAAGCGUGCGCAGGCGGUUUUGUAAGUCUGACGUGAAAUCCCCGGGCUCAACCUGGGAAUUGCGUUGGAGACUGCAAGGCUAGAAUCUGGCAGAGGGGGGUAGAAUUCCACGUGUAGCAGUGAAAUGCGUAGAGAUGUGGAGGAACACCGAUGGCGAAGGCAGCCCCCUGGGUCAAGAUUGACGCUCAUGCACGAAAGCGUGGGGAGCAAACAGGAUUAGAUACCCUGGUAGUCCACGCCCUAAACGAUGUCUACUAGUUGUCGGGUUUUAAUUAACUUGGUAACGCAGCUAACGCGUGAAGUAGACCGCCUG
rnacentral:rRNA from 2 species